UGAACCUGGACUGCCAUGUACAGUUGUUCAGAAUGUGCACUGUUCAUAUGGCCAUGAAUCAUAGUGCUGCCCAGGGUUAUGCAGGGCAAACUGCAUGUUGGAGCUAUGGAAGGAGGUGCAGGUUCUAGAAGAUCCUAGGAGAAAGAUAGGCUCGUGUCUGCCUGGAGAGUCAGGGGAGGUUACCAGGAGAAGGGGACUUGCUUGGACCUGAAGGCUGACUGAGGUUUGCACAGUCAGAGGGGACUCAGAACAGAAAAGGGCAUACCAGAGAGGGGUCUCCCAAGCCCAGCCUUUUAGCUGCCAUCACCAUUUCCACAGGGUCCCUGUACCACAUGCACCAUUAUUUACUUAAUAUUUAUUUUCAAAGCAUCUUUCCCCUUUUACUUAAAUAAAUUCAGGUUAAAAGAAGACUUUUAUUACCGCCAUAAAUGAAAAAUCAGCAUCACUUGCCAUAAAUAGAGGGUAACUGUAAAAAUAAACGCUAUGAAAACCAAACAGCAUUCGUAAAUUCUAGCCAAAGAAGCUUGCCUGCUGAAGGCUAUGAGCCUCAAUCUCCGUUUUUUUCUCAUUAACAAGGGAGACUGGCGAAGGUUAGGUGUUAAAGUCAGAGAAGCACCAGCAGAGACUUUCUUCUUAAUCACAAGGGGCUUGGGACGCAGGUCCUGCUCAAGUGUGGACACCAGCGGGCACCCAGCACCAGCCCUGGCUUCCGAUGGCCAUGGCCCAAUCUCACAACCCAUCACUAGUUCCCACCUCCAAGCCUUGCUCCUGCUGGGCCACAUACCUGGAAAGCUUCCCUGCCACUUCCCUAUCCCAAUCUUGCCGAUUCUUCCAGUGUGGCUCUUGGGACAGCAUCCUUGCCCGUAGUGAGAACUAACACCCACUUAAGGAAUGAAAAUACCUGAAUUGCAUACUUGGAGAAUGAAUGAACAAAGAAAUGAAUGGAUGACCCCUUUAUGGUCUGUGCUGCUCAAACCAGGAAAGCAACUUCCUGAGGCAUUGACUUCACUCCAGAAACAUGGGACAAGAACGUUAUUUUUGUAUUAAAACAAACAUGAAUAUAUUAUGGGAUAGAAUAUAGAAGUCAUAAAUUUUGAAUGAAAUAGGAGACAUCAAAGAAAUGUUGCCCCUGGUGAGAGCUGUUUACUCUCCUGCGUGGGCCGCACGCCAUCAACGGCCUCUUGUCCCAUCCAGUCCAAAGCCUCCUUCUCCGCAACCCCAGGCUCCGCAGAGCUCAGACUGUGCUCUACCCACAGGAAGUGCUGGUGUGGUGGCUAACAGGGGAAGGGGCCAGGGGGACGGUCGGGCACUAGGGCGAGGGGGAGCCCAGGAUUUACGGUGAGGAUGCAAGCCACAGCUCUCCCUGGCGUGCUGGGUGGCAUUGUGCAAGCUGCUUCACUACUCUGAGCUCUGGUUUCCCACUGUGUCAUUGAUUACAGGCUUAUUUUGAGGAUUAAAUGGGCAAAUGCAAGUGAAGAGCCUGUUUCAGUGUGUAGCACCCAGAAGGUCCACAACAACCGCUGUUCCCUGGUGGAACCCACUCCUUGCUGAGCCUUAGACACAAGCACAUUCACCCAGGUGGGUCCUUGCCUGUCUCUGGCCGAUGGAGGAGGGGCCGCCCUGCCUAGUAAAAAUUUAAAUAGCUAACAUUUUUUUUUUCUUUUUUUCUUUCUUUUUUGAGACAGAGUCUCACACCGUCGCCCAGGUUGGAGUGCAGUGGCAUGAUCUUUGCUCACUGCAACCUCCGCCUCCCAGGUUCAAGCAAUUCUCCUUGCCUCAGCCUCCCAAGAAGCUGGGAUUACAGGCGGCCUCCACCACGCCUGACUAAUUUUUUUGUAUUUUUACUAGAGACAAGCUUUCACUACAUUAGCCAGGCUGGUCUUGAACUCCUGACCUCGUGAUCCGCCCGUCUUGGCCUCCAGAAGUGCUGGGAUUACAGGUGUGAGCCACCGCACCUGGCCAAAAUUAACCACUUUAAAGUGGACAAUUGAGUCGCAUCUAGUGCAUUCACAAUGUGAUGCAACUAGUCCCAACAUGCUGUCUUCCCCCCAGAAGGAAACUCCUCACUCCCCACUCUCCCCUAACCCCUGGCAACCUCAAAUCUGCAUUCUCACAUUUGCCUACUCCGGAUAUUUCAUAUCAUCUGCAUCAUAUAAUAUGUGGUCUUUUGUGACUGGCUUCCUUCAUCUAGCAUAGAGUUUUUGAGGUUCAUCUACCAUUGUCGCACACAUCAGUAAUUCAUUACUUUUCAUAGAGGUGUUUCUUUAAUACAAUAAAAUAUCCUACCUAAUCCCCAAAACAACCUGGGAAGUGGCCACUAUCAUUGUCCUCUUCUUACAGAUGGGGAAACUGAGGCACGGAGUGGGUGGGGACUUGCCCAGGUUCCCUGCCAGACACCCCGACAUAGCUGAGCAGGAAGUGCUGGAGCCGGCAAGCUGGAAGCAGGGCGCCUCCCAAGGCCACCAGCACAUAUUGAGGUAGACAGCAGUAGAAUUACAAAUCUAGGGAGAUUUAAGGAGAACUAAAAUAUUCUGGCACUUGCAGGAUUGUGGGAGUUGAGCAGGUUUCCCCAGUGGAAUUCCCGCCUCCUCUUCCCACAUGUCUGGGCCACAAGGAGUGAGAGCAGGUGGGAGGGAGGGAGGCAAGCGCGGGAGUGUUCAGGGAGCCAGAGAUAGGGCAGGGGCGGGGGCAGGGAGCCAGGAGCCGGGAGCAGGCACACAGGCGUCCCGACGUCUCUACCGAUACCAUUUAUUUUCAUUCUCCCCAGUACAUCCUGCAAAGCUAGUGGGGUGAGCCCAUUGCACGGAUGCAUAACGAGGCUCAGAGAGGCUGGAGCGGGGCAGGAUUUGAGCCUUAGUGUCAGAUCCCAAAGCCGAGGCGCAUAGCCAUCCUCUGCUGCCGGGAGGGGCUAAGAGGGAAGAAGUGGGGGAAGCAAAGGAGGCUGCAUCAAUCACAGGGAUGGAUUUGCUCCAGCACGCCAGAAAGGAGCAGCCUCAGAGCCACUGAGGAGAAAGAACAGUGAGGGCUGUAAGGGGCGCUGAGGGUGGAGGCAGGAGGGCCAGGGACAUGAAGGACGGGGCAAAAGGGGAGGCAGAGACCAACGGACAGGGACAGAUGGAGGCAGGCACUUGGGAUGUUCCAGAACAGAGGCUCUGAGGGUGCCCAGUGGGUAGGGUGGUGGUGGCCCCACCCUGACCAGAACCUGGCCUCGGUCAAACCUGACCCCCCACCCAGGACCUAGUACAUGCCCCAGCCCCAGCCCCUGCCACCCCUGCCCAAUCGUGUCUGCGAAAUUCAAGGAAGCAACAGUAAAUAUGUGGGCUCCGGAGUCAGGCUGACCUGGAUUUCAACCCAACUGCACCUCCUCAAGGUAUCCUCAGCAAGAUCUUGCCACCUUUCUGAGUGGCUGGUUCCUCUUGGUGGAACCCACUGCUUUACUGGUUCCCUGAGGAGCUAGAAGGGAGAAAGCUUGGGUUACGGCUACAAGAAGGAAGACGCCAUGGCCAAGCCUGCCUCAAGGCUGUUCUGGAGGAGGCAGUCCCAGAGCUGCCAGAUGCAUCUUCAUCUUAAACACAGCUUUCCAGCUCUCUGUACAGACUCAGCACCCUUGGAUGGAGAAACAAAGCUCAGAAAGAUGAUGUAACCUGCACAAAGUUGCACAGUGAGGUAGGGCAGAGGCUGAAUGUGAACGGACACAUCCCAGCCCAUCCUCCUCCCCUGUGUAAUUGUGCCUCUUGUCUGCUUCCCAAUGCAAGUGUAAUCUCUGGGCACCGUGGAAGCCGAGAGCCUAGUGGAGGCAGAAGGUAAGCAAAGACUAGCCCAGGAAACAGUCUCUAGGAAUUCACUAGAGUGGGUGACGCCUGUCACUCAUUUCAUUCUGGGAAUGCUGCAGGAGAUGGAAAGCCUCCCAUCCCUGGAGGCAACUAACAUGCCUCUAGUGGUCGUGUGGAUGCCAUGAGGCAAAUAUCACUGCUAUUUCCAUUAUAUAAAUGAGGCUCAGAGGUGAGCAUCACGUCAAGUAUUUCAAUUGGGAAAGAUGAUAUUUUUAAACUUCCCUCUAAGCAUGGGAUCUUGCACUGCCCCUUACUGCUGAGCCAAGCUCCCUGGAGAGUCUCCAUACCCUCCCCUUGACUCAGACAGGCCACCCUCCCUCCCCUCCUUGAGAGGUGUCACUUGAGCACUGUGGCUCUGUCAGUGGUAACAGCUGUAAGAUUUGUCCUUUUAAUCCAGAAUCAAUAACAAAUUUCAUUUAAAAAUAAAUUAAACCAGGCAUUGGAAAUCAUUCACCACGUGGGCUGGAGCCCUAUAUAGCACCAUCUAAAUGGCUUCCUUUUGCUCAUCUAUCAAUGCCAAGAGUGGGGGAAAUACCUAGGCUGCCUGAUUCAUGGAGAAACUACUUAAAUGUAUCAGCCCCUAACAAUGAGCAAUGUAAGCCUGGAGUUGCACCUUUUAGCACACCAAUAACAUGUGGAGUGAGGCUUCAUGAGAGCUUAUCAGAGCCCCCAUGGUCACUGGCUUUGAGAGAGCCCAUUUAUAAGGGGGAACAAUGGCUUUAGUAUGUAGCCGCCUAAUUUCCAGAAUGCAUUACUGAGCUCUGAGGAGCAAUGGAAUUCUAUUAAAGUCUUAUCUGCCAUGGGAGGGUAUGAAACCGGUGCGGAACUCCAGGCUUGGCAUAGACAUGCCCAGAAAGCAGCAGGGCUGACCCUAGGAGGUGGGUGAACAAGCCCAGAGGGAGAGGGGGGAGCAGGAGGGGCCCCGGAUGUGUGAAAAUAUGUGUGUUAAUAAGAGCUCCGGUUUCCAGCGAUUACGUUUACAUCAGUGAAUAAAACUUGGCAAUAAAACAUCGGA